rnacentral:rRNA from 1 species
GACAGGUGGUGCAUGGUUGUCGUCAGCUCGUGUCGUGAGAUGUUGGGUUAAGUCCCGCAACGAGCGCAACCCUUAAGCUUAGUUGCCAUCAUUAAGUUGGGCACUCUAAGUUGACUGCCGGUGACAAACCGGAGGAAGGUGGGGAUGACGUCAAAUCAUCAUGCCCCUUAUGAUUUGGGCUACACACGUGCUACAAUGGACAAUACAAAGGGCAGCGAAACCGCGAGGUCAAGCAAAUCCCAUAAAGUUGUUCUCAGUUCGGAUUGUAGUCUGCAACUCGACUACAUGAAGCUGGAAUCGCUAGUAAUCGUAGAUCAGCAUG